rnacentral:rRNA from 1 species
AUUGAACGCUGGCGGCAGGCCUAACACAUGCAAGUCGAGCGGGGUUUUCGGACCUAGCGGCGGACGGGUGAGUAAUGCGUAGGAAGUUACCCGAUAGAGGGGAUACCAGUUGGAAACGACUGUUAAUACCGCAUAAUGUCUACGGACCAAAGUGUGGGACCUUCGGGCCACAUGCUAUCGGAUGCGCCUACGUGGGAUUAGCUAGUUGGUGGGGUAAUGGCUCACCAAGGCGACGAUCCCUAGCUGGUUUGAGAGGAUGAUCAGCCACACUGGAACUGAGACACGGUCCAGACUCCUACGGGAGGCAGCAGUGGGGAAUAUUGGACAAUGGGCGCAAGCCUGAUCCAGCAAUGCCGCGUGCA